UCGAACGGUCACUUCGGUGAUAGUGGCGGACGGGUGAGUAACGCGUGAGAAUCUGCCCUCAGGAUGGGGACAACAGUUGGAAACGACUGCUAAUACCCGAUGUGCCGCAAGGUGAAAGAUUUAUCGCCUGAGGAGGAGCUCGCGUCUGAUUAGCUAGUUGGUAAGGUAAAGGCUUACCAAGGCAUCGAUCAGUAGCUGGUCUGAGAGGAUGAGCAGCCACACUGGGACUGAGACACGGCCCAGACUCCUACGGGAGGCAGCAGUGGGGAAUUUUCCGCAAUGGGCGAAAGCCUGACGGAGCAAUACCGCGUGAGGGAGGAAGGCUCUUGGGUUGUAAACCUCUUUUCUCUGGGAAGAAAAAAAUGACGGUACCAGAGGAAUAAGCAUCGGCUAACUCCGUGCCAGCAGCCGCGGUAAUACGGAGGAUGCAAGCGUUAUCCGGAAUCAUUGGGCGUAAAGCGUCCGUAGGUGGUUUUUCAAGUCUGCUGUCAAAGCCUGGGGCUUAACCCCAGAUAGGCAGUGGAAACUGGGAGACUAGAGUUCGGUAGGGGUAGCGGGAAUUCCCAGUGUAGCGGUGAAAUGCGUAGAUAUUGGGAAGAACAUCGGUGGCGAAGGCGCGCUACUGGGCCG
rnacentral:rRNA from 1 species